UUCUAACAUCAGAGACUGAGAAGAAGUUCUCAUGGAGGUCUAGAUGUUCAUGGAGGUCUAGAUGUUCAUGGAGGUCUAGGUGUUCAUAGAGGUCUAGAUGUUCAUAGAGGUCUAGAUGUUCAUAGAGGUCUAGGUGUUCAUAGAGGUCUCGGUGUUCAUAGAGGUCUAGAUGUUCAUAGAGGUCUAGGUGUUCAUAGAGGUCUCGGUGUUCAUAGAGGUCUAGAUGUUCAUAGAGGUCUAGGUGUUCAUGGAGGUCUAGAUGUUCAUAGAGGUCUAGGUGUUCAUGGAGGUCUAGGUGUUCAUAGAGGUCUAGAUGUUCAUAGAGGUCUAGGUGUUCAUAGAGGUCUAGGUGUUCAUAGAGGUCUAGGUGUUCAUAGAGGUCUAGAUGUUCAUAGAGGUCUAGAUGUUCAUAGAGGUCUAGGUGUUCAUGGAGGUCUAGGUGUUCAUAGAGGUCUAGAUGUUCAUAGAGGUCUAGGUGUUCAUAGAGGUCUAGAUGUUCAUAGAGGUCUAGGUGUUCACAGAGGUCUAGGUGUUCACAGAGGUCUAGGUGUUCACAGAGGUCUAGGUGUUCAUAGAGGUCUAGGUGUUCAUAGAGGUCUAGAUGUUCAUAGAGGUCUAGGUGUUCAUAGAGGUCUAGAUGUUCAUAGAGGUCUAGGUGUUCACAGAGGU